GAACGAACGCUGGCGGCAGGCUAACACAUGCAAGUCGAGCGAUCCUUCGGGAUAGCGGCGGACGGGUGAGUAACGCGUGGGAACGUGCCCUAUGGUGCGGGAAAGCAUCUGGAAACGGAGAUUAAUAGCGUAUGUACCCUAUGGGGGAAAGAUUCAUCGCCAUCGGAUCGGCCCGCGUUGGAUUAGGUAGUUGGUGGGGUAACGGCCUACCAAGCCGACGAUCCAUAGCUGGUUUGAGAGGAUGAUCAGCCACACUGGGACUGAGACACGGCCCAGACUCCUACGGGAGGCAGCAGUGGGGAAUCAUAGACAAUGGGGGAAACCCUGAUCUUGCCAUGCCGCGUGAGCGAUGAAGGCCCUAGGGUUGUAAAGCUCUUUCGCCAGGGAAGAUAAUGACGGUACCUGGUAAAGAAACCCCGGCUAACUCCGUGCCAGCAGCCGCGGUAAUACGGAGGGGGUUAGCGUUGUUCGGAAUUACUGGGCGUAAAGCGCACGUAGGCGGACUGGAAAGUUGGGGGUGAAAUCCCAGGGCUCAACCCUGGAACUGCCUUCAAAACUGUCAGUCUGGAGUCCGAGAGAGGUGAGUGGAACUCCGAGUGUAGAGGUGAAAUUCGUAGAUAUUCGGAAGAACACCAGUGGCGAAGGCGGCUCACUGGCUCGGUACUGACGCUGAGGUGCGAAAGUGUGGGGAGCAAACAGGAUUAGAUACCCUGGUAGUCCACACCGUAAACCGAUGAAUGCCCAGACGUCGGGCAGCAUGCUGUUCGGUGUCACACCUAACGGAUUAAGCAUUCCGCCUGGGGAGUACGGCCGCAAGGUUAAAAACUCAAAGGAAUUGACUGGGGCCCGCACAAGCGGUGGAGCAUUGUGGUUUUAAUUCGAAGCUACGCGCAGAACCUUACCAACCCUUGACAUUCCUUCUCGCGGUCCCGGGAGACCGGCUCCUUCAGUUCGGCUGGAGAAGUCACACGUGCNUGCAUGGCUGUCGUCAGCUCGUGUCGUGCAGAUGUUCGGUUAAGUCCGGCAACGAGCGCAACCCACACCCUUAGUUGCCAGCAUUUAGUUGGCACUCUAGGGAACUGCCGAUGAUAAGUCG
rnacentral:rRNA from 1 species